CAGUCGCCGCGGGAAUACGUAGGGUGCGAGCGUUAAUCGGAAUUACUGGGCGUAAAGCGUGCGCAGGCGGUUGUGUAAGACAGGUGUGAAAUCCCCGGGCUUAACCUGGGAACUGCGCUUGUGACUGCACAGCUAGAGUAUGGCUUAGGGGGGUGGAAUUCCACGUGUAGCAGUGAAAUGCGUAGAGAUGUGGAGGAACACCGAUGGCGAAGGCAGCCCCCUGGGCCAAUACUGACGCUCAUGCACGAAAGCGUGGGGAGCAAACAGGAUUAGAUACCCGUGUAGUCCCUGUCUCUUAUAC
rnacentral:rRNA from 1 species